CCGGGCGCGUCCUGCUCCCGGAACAGACUGUACACCUUGGCUGCGGCCGCUGCGUGGUGGCUGCCCCCCGGGCGCCAGAGCCGACUCGCGUCCCUGCCCACCGGCUCGACUCGUCCCACCGGGUCCCUCUGAGCACGACCCAUGCCCACGAAGAGAGCCAGGAAUCUCCAGGGAGAAAGCCUUACGGGUCCAAGGGCUGGGCAGAUCUACCCCGAAUUCUGGAAUGGCAGGCAGGAAUUUCAGGACAAGGAAGCUGGGAGCUAUCUGACCCUCUUGGCCAGGGAAGCCACGAGUGACUGUGCGUGUCAGCAGCAGGGCCUCAGAGCCUGGGAACGUCUCUGAUGGGGUAUCUCCACUGUCUGAAUUCCCCACGUGCUCUGGGCCAGGUUCCCCUGGAGACUCAACCCCCGAGUCAAGCUUCUAUCUCCAGUUUCCCUCAAACUUGGCCUCAGGUUCCUCUCCAAUCCCACAAGCACAUGUUGAAGUGUCAUAAUAUGUAUAUCCAAGUCCACCCACUCUGCUGCCUCCCUCAGAGCUUGGCCCAUAGAUAGAUAAGCCAUAUGUAUUUGACAUCAAACAGAUAGCCAUCAUUUAUUGAGCACCUCUUUGUCAGGCCAUCAGUGUUGCCAAGAAGAAUAAGGAUUAGUCGCUAUCCUCAAGGAACUUCCAGUGUCGUAGGAAAGGCAGCAACACCUAUCAUAGUAAGUGCUGUGAUCGAGAUAAGCCCACGGUACAAGGUGAAUGCAAGGAUAGGCACUCCAGGAUGGGAAUAUGAGACACCUGAUCAAGGAAGAUCCUAGAGAAGAGGCUAUCUGAGUGGGGGUCCGGAAGGCAGGGCCAGUCUCAGCCUGGAGAAGGCGGAAAAGAUGGUGAGGAGGAGGUACAGCAAUGAUUACUAGAGCCAAGUUUGCAAAAAUUAAACCCCACCAGGGUCUACCCCAUUUCCCUUUUCACUGGGGUCCGAUCAGAGAAAUUUUACCAGAUAUUUGAAUGAUAGUCAGAUGAAAUUAAAAUGAUAUUCAACAUGGCCCAGCAAGCAUGGCUCAGUGGUUGAGCAUCAACCUAUGAACCAGGAAACUGCAGUUCAAUUCCAAAUCAGGGCAUAUGCCCAGG